AUUCAGCUGACCAGUCCCAAAUAGGACGAAGUGAUGCGCUUCCUGAAU
rnacentral:hammerhead_ribozyme from 1 species